UCCGCCCGCUCCCGGUCCGUCUGUCCGAGGGGAGCGAGCGACCCCCGCACCGCUUCGCGCCGGGGGCAACAAAGGGUGCCCCCCCCCCCGACCCCCCUCCGCCCGCCCGCGGCCCCGCUCACUCGUCAGGGUGCUCUGUGAUCAGGCAAUCCUGGGAGAAGAAAUGUGUCUGUCCCACCCAAGCUCAUCACCUUGACCUUCCAGCUUCCAUAGGCCCCUCCCGUUGAAGCAUCCCUUUCCCAUUGCAGGAACAGAAAUGGACACUUGGAGAAAAAUCUGUGGACUGCUAGUAAUGCGAUGAAGGCAAGAGCUUUGAGGUCUUCCUUCUGGGCAGUCACCCCCAGGGAGAAGCAGCAUAUCCUUUGGAGGUUACUGUGCCGGUUCUUGCGAGUGGCGCGUUCGAGAUGACUGACUUUUCUGAAUGAAAAGGCUCCCUCUCAGAGGUGUGAUUUCUGUUUGUGCCUUGUGUUGUUUGUAUACAGAGUUUCUGCUCAGACACAGAAUAGUGCUUCCCUGUGAUGUGUUCAUUACAGUACCUAGAAUUAAUUAGCUAUGGGUGGCAGAGCUUCAAGGCAGCAGCUCCUGCAUACUAACGAUUUGCAUGCUGUGACUGUCCUGUGUUUUGUAUUCAAAAGAAACAUUUAUUUUGCAAAGUAAUGCUUUAGCUGUUGCAGAGAAUCUGGCAUAUGGACCUCGUUUCUGCUUGGAUUGGAAUGGACUUCCCUGAGUGCAGUUACACCUUUAGCUACCACUUAUUUAAGGGUGAGAAGCAACUGGGAUUUGAAGUGGCAAACUUCAGGAUGGCAUUUACUGCAGGCUUGCAACGUAACCUCCUACCUUCACUUACUCUUGCUUGUAAAACCUUUGAGCUGAAGUCUUCCACACUGUUGAUUUAGGAACCUAAAUAUGAAUGUUGGUACCCUAUUGACUGUGCUGAAUUCAAUGAUUUUUCCACUGACUCACUCGGUGACUUUGAAUGAGUGAGGAGUGGAAGUCAGCAGUCCUGAAUCAUGCCAUCCUCCAGACAAUUACCCCCCUCACCGAUAAUUCUUUCGAGCAGCAAUCAUAUUUUAAAAGCAAUGAUUACAUCUGUGUUUUCCCCCAUUAUAAUUGCUCAGAAUUUAAGAGCCACAGAAACAAUCUGCAACAUUUGCAGUCAGCUUGAAAUCUUUCAGUUGACACUUUUUGGGAGGUCAGAGACUGUGGAAAUACUAAGGGUUCUUUUCAGCAGGAGUGAGAUUUCAGCAUGCGGUUUGGAGAAUUGUUGGGAUCAUUUCAGGCACCUGCCAGGGAAAGAAGAGGUGGAGAACUCCUUGCAGUCUUCCCAGGAUGUCGUUUUGGAGGGUGGUAAGAUCAGAGCAGGAAAGCAGAAAGGACCCUCACUGCCAGAUGAGCUGGUUUGCUCAAGAACUGACUAUCCCACUGUUUUCUAGUUUUUAUUUCUUUGUAACCCUGUGUUUUACUAGGGCUGAAAGUGGCAACAAAUCUUAGGAGAUCUCUUGUGCCGUUGCCUGUGUGAUUUUUCAGGACACCAAGGGAUCAACCUGGGCAACAGCAAUGACUGUGCUGGUGUCUGGGAAGGCAUGGACCAGUGCAUGCAGUCAACCAUGAGUCACCUGUGUGGGACAAAUCUGCUGUCAUUUGUAGCUGAUUUCACGAAACCAUGCGCUCUCCUUCACCCUCUCCCAAAAUGCAAACAAAGUUUAUUGAAAUGAGGAGACUGUGAGGAAAAGGGGUCUUUUCAAAACCCUUGCCUUCUAACUGGGCACUCUAUUGCCCUCGUAAUAUUCAGCAGUACGUGAUUUAUAGCUCCCCUGACACGAUGGUUUGGUGUUUCCUUUGUGUGCAUAACUUCCUUUUGAUAUAAAGGGAUGAUAACAAACCUAAACUGUAAUCUCACUAGCACAUGACACAUUGUCUUCGUGGUGCAGAUGGCAGGAAAAUGCUCUGAUCUCGAGUUCAGCGCUUCAGCCUUCCCGCCCCCACUCCAAAUUCCACCCUGGUAACAGGGUGGGUGUUAGCAGUGUUGGUGGGGGCGAUUCCUUCAGAUGCAGUGAUGCAGGAUGAUGUUUUUGGGAGUCCCACUGGAGUUGAGUCCCUGGUAUGGACUCAGCAAGAGAUGGGUGCACAGCUGCUGCUUUAACUUCUUGCUUACCUUUUUGUGCUGAAUGACUGGAAGGAAAAACUGCUACAAAACCUUCACUUACCACUGUCAGUCCCCCAGCAGUGCUUUCCUUCUGUGCAUUCCCAACUCAGCGUGCCCUGGCCCAUCAAAUCAAAAAAAUAAUGUGCACAAACUCUGCAACUGUCACGGCAACCUCAGGAUUAGUCCUAAAGCCGGGCUACUUUUGGCAUGAGGGAAGGGCUGCUCUUCUCUUGAGAUGCCUUUCCACCCUUGAGAGGUUUCUGCAUUUUUGAUACAGCUGCUUCUAGAGCCUCAUGGGAGCUGAACAAACAGAUGUCAAAUAAUCUGUUCUUACUUCAGGGAGCACAAAAGUGGAUGGGUCUGGGAUAAACACUGGAGCUGUGCACACCUUCUCCUCCCCUCCUCGGGGAUUAUUUGAAUUAGUCUUGAACCCUUAAGUGUAUUUCAAAAAGUAUAAUUCACUUGGGUGUUCCUCCCUGUCUUGCACAGCUAUUGUGAGACCAUCCCUUCUGAACACUUAUGUCCCCUUUAUUGCAAAACUCUUUGAUUGGCCUCAGCAGGUGACACAACAAACAGUUGACUACUUACUUUAGCAAAACCAGUUUUCAUGGCUUGACCUCCUUUUCUCACCCAGUGUCUUGCUGUGAGUAGAGGGUCCUAUUCAGUGUCUGAGCAGUUGUAAUUGCAGGAUUACCCAGUCCAGGCCCAGACAUGGGAGAAACCCCCCCACAGGCAUUGAUCAGGAAAGGCUUCUGGAGUUAAAUUAAGCUUUUGAAAUAUGGAAAUGAGGACAUGGCUUAGUCAGGCGUUCAGUGGCAUAUGAUACACAGGGGAAAUGAGUUAUAUGCACCCUAUUUGUGUUCCUCUGAACCCAGCCCUCAGCUUCAGGGCUGCUCGGUGACAUGACCCAUGCAGAACUUUAAAGAUGCUUGACAAUGUUUGAUUUCAAAGGGUGCCAGUCCACCCUCUUCUCCAGGCAGAUAUUUUUCCUUGUGUCAACAUCCUCAUAACAACUCCAGCUAGGCAAAUAUAGCACAUGGCUUAUGAGUGUCCUGGAAGGACUCAGAGGUGGAGAGUUAGAGCUAAAGAAGGUUCAUGGUUAACCCCAUGCACCACUGAAUAGCUUUUCCAGGGAUAAAUCACUGCACAUGAUGAAGAAGCUGGGAGGAGAGUUUAAUGGUCCUGCAGAGAGCACCACCUUAGACAGCCAUCCCUCAAGAUAUUCCCAAGGAUUCUCAUGGAAAAUAAUCCUACGCUCCUUUUAUGUCCUAGUAAUCACACACAUAUUAUGCUUCCCUGCCCAGUUCUAAGGAGAAAGGUAAUUAGUCACUCCACACAAACCUUUUGGGACUAUGCAUAUACUCUAGUAUGGAAUACAGCUCCGUCUGGAAGGGAAUAAAAAUGCACAACUCUGCUCUAUGUGUGGUUAUUAACAUAAGCUGCCAUUUGCAGGAACUGGGUGCAAGGCCUUCCACGUGCUCCCUGCCAGCUGCAUCUCCAGCAGCAUUGGCUGCCAGGCUUAACAAAGCCCAGAAAUGGAAGCCCAGGUUAUGAGAGCUUCACACCUGCAACGCCAAAAGCACAGGCUUGACUCCUGCUCACAAAACUCCCUUGUUUUAGAUAGCAGACUCUCCAGUUUCUUAGAGAAAAAAAAAAAAAAAAAGGCUGGUUAUUGCUGGGUGUGUGUUCUGACCUUAAAAGCUGAAAGUAAAAACUCUCCCAGAUAUAGGGUGUGCUGAAGUGGCAGCUGAAGGGCUUUUUUUGUUCGUUCUGCAGUUAAUACCAUCGUGCUAAAAUUGCACAGGGAGGAGUGGGGGUUAAUUUAAGAUUUAGUGUGACCAAAAAGAAUUAUUUAGAAAACAACAAAUGGAUGACAUUCUGAAAAAUAAGCUUGAUUUCCAUAGUCAGGACUACUUGACUUAAGUUGCAGGGGAUGUGAAGGAAGCCUCCUGGAUCCAUGGCAGGUAAACAUUUGCUUUUGAUUCUGUUUUUCUCUUCAAGUGUAGAAACCCCAGCAUUUACACUUAAAUGGAUGUGCUGUAAGCUAUGUUUAGGAAGAGAAUUUCAUCCCCUCCUGCACGUACUUUUAACACAUGAUAAUUAUUUGACUGCAGCUUUACAAAGUAUGGCUGGAGGGAUGGUUUGUAAGGGAGGAGUUACAUGGCACUGAUAACUGCCUGACUCAGCCCCACUGAAGGCAGUGGCAGCAGGAUCAGGCCAUCCAGAAGAGAUAUUUUAUUUUAAAUGUCAAUUAUGUGCCUUCAGUGGCUUCUGGUAAAUUCCUGCCUCCUGAUUUCACACGUUGGAGAACACACCUGUCUGCUGGAGCGAUGAAUGUCUUCAGGGUCACGUGUUCAAUGUGGACAGGAAUCUCUGCAUUUUAUCACCUUUUUUUUUAAAAAAAAACAAACCAGGGAGCCAGAGAGCUUAUGAAGAUGAUGUUUUGGUGACUGAUGCCAUUGGUUUUGUCUUCAUCAAACAUAUCCCAGAGAAUGUGCCCUUCCUUUAUUUUUUGCUUUCUGCUUCUUCUCUCCCACCUGAUCUGUUCCUUCUAUACAACAGGAGCUAUAGUCCAAAAUUCAUCAAGGGGGGGAAAAAACUGCCCUAACCACAUGUCCAGAUGGAUUACCUUGCAUAUAACUGGUUCUGCUUGUGCCAAAGCCAUUGCCACACUACCAGUAUUUAAUUUAUUAUUGCACAAAAUGCUCUAGAUAGCUGUGACAUUAAAAAGCUUUUCAUAAAUUGGUUCCUGCUCAGCUCUGAAGAGAUUUGGGUCUUUUCUUUGAUGUUUCUCAGUCUAAGAAAGUGAAAGCUCUCCUACAAGACUUGAUCAAAGUCCUGUGAGAUGGCAGUCUGAGUUUUGGCCCUUCCUCUCUUGGAGGAAAGCAAACCAGGACAAGUCUUUGUCUUCUUGAAAGAAACAUGGACAACUGUCUUCUUUAAAAUCCUAUGAGGAUGGAAAGCAGAAGUUAUUUUCACUUUUCUGUAGCAAGGUCAACUCUAUCCCCUGUGCAGAUGGACUUAACCUCCCCAAGUAACAGGAUGAGCAAGGCACCUUUUGAGAAGGGUCACCAGAGCCUGUUGCUUUGUGCUUUCUGAAGAAUGCUAGCAGUGGAAAGGGCUUCGUGCCACUACCAUACAGCUGUCACCAAAAUCACAGCCAGAGGUUUAUUUGAUCAUAAAAUCUGCUACAGCAGGAAGCGGUGGAAGCUCUGCAGUAACUUACUUUGCUGCACACAGCUACCCCAACAGGGGCUUUGACCUUUUAACAAUGGCACUUCAUUAUACGGAAUUUUCUUAUGUUAAUUUUCCAGGUAUUGAGGGGAAGAGGAUCACUGAGAAACAUGAGAUCUUGAAAAAAAAAUUUAAAAAAUGUAAUAAAUCAUAUACUGUGACUUUUGAUAUAGUUAGUACAUCCAUGUAAUAACAUCUGGUAUUACUAGUCUUCAUUUGUAUCCUUCACAGUCAUUUAUAGGGGUGGAGAAGAGUGUUGGUCUUCCAUUACAGCAGAAGAAAUCACAGCCUGACGAGAUACCCAGGUGUUAGGGAGAGGACUUGAACUCAGGAGCAUUUGGGAGUCAUCUAGGACAGGAAAACAACACCUACUCAAGUUUAAUUCCCUGUGCUUUUUUAUGUGUGUCUAGUUGCUUGGCUGUGAGUGGUAUUUAAAUCCCCUGAGCCCCUCUGUUCACUUGUAAUUUACUAUCAGAAAAGACAGAAAUAAAUUCUAACAUGUUUGUGAGACAUACCAGAAUUACUUCAAACUUAGGACAACUUGGAGUAAACUUAAAUGCUUCAAAGCCUAAAUAUCACACUGCUAAUUAUCUUCUUAUUAGUUUAAAUCAUCAUGGAUUAAAAUGAAAUGCUGCUGUGAAAACUGCCCCAUCAAACUGAACGUGGUUGUAGCUGUUUGCCUGGUGUGGCCUGAGUAAAAGUGCUCCACUGUGCAUUUCCACCUUAGGAAAAUUCUUUAUGCCCUGAUUUCCAAGUUCGAAAAUAACUCUCUACAGAUGAAACACAUUUUUCACCCUUCAAAGAAGUGUUUUCACCUACAAAUACUCCUUGCUGCCUAAACAAGAGCCCUUUCCUUUACACUUGUGCCAACAUGUAACUUGGAUAAAGAAUUAAACUUAGAUUCUUAGUUAUAAUGCUUCCCCUGACUUUUUUUUUUUUUAAAUAA